rnacentral:rRNA from 1 species
UGGGGAAUAUUGCACAAUGGGCGCAAGCCUGAUGCAGCAACGCCGCGUGAGGGACGACGGCCUUCGGGUUGUAAACCUCUUUUAGUAGGGAAGAAGCGAAAGUGACGGUACCUGCAGAAAAAAGCACCGGCUAACUACGUGCCAGCAGCCGCGGUAAUACGUAGGGUGCGAGCGUUGUCCGGAAUUAUUGGGCGUAAAGAGCUCGUAGGCGGUCUGUCGCGUCUGCUGUGAAAACCCGAGGCUCAACCUCGGGCCUGCAGUGGGUACGGGCAGACUAGAGUGCGGUAGGGGAGAAUGGAAUUCCUGGUGUAGCGGUGGAAUGCGCAGAUAUCAGGAGGAACGCCGAUGGCGAAGGCAGUUCUCUGGGCCGUAACUGACGCUGAGGAGCGAAAAGCGUGGGGAGCGAACAGGAUUAGAUACCCUGGUAGUCCACGCCGUAAAACGUUGGGCGCUAGAUGUGGGGACCAUUCCACGGUUUCCGUGUCGCAGCUAACGCAUUAAGCGCCCCGCCUGGGGAGUACGGCCGCAA